UGUGGGAGCGGGCUUGCCCGCGAUAGCGUUGGAUCAGUCACCAUCAUUGUUGGAUGUGCAACCGCUAUCGCGGGCAAGCCCGCUCCCACA
rnacentral:misc_RNA from 1 species